ACUUAUUUAACUCUAAUCACAAGUGUGUGCAACAGAAAAAACAAAGAGAUUUUCCUUUAAUAAUCCAAAAUUGGAUUCUAUCUGAUUAUAAAAAAAAGCAAAAUUUUAUAUUUACAUAAAUACUAUUGUCAAAAAUGAACCGUUAGAUAGUGCUUGUUAUUCCAACAUUAUAUGGAAUUAAUUUAAUUUUCAAAUGUAAUCCUAAAGGAUUAAAAGAUAACAAAUCAAAGAACGAGAAAUGGAAUUUUAAGAAUAAUUAUAUAGAAGAGGAAUUUUGUAAAGCACGUUGAUAUUUUCACAGAUAUAUAUGGAAAACUGUUAAGCUAAUUAACAGCUAUCUCUUAAAUGUACGUUAAAUACUGAGAUUGAAAAAUUGAGGUCAUAAAUAAGUUUCUGUAAAAAAACAUAAAUACAGGAAAUAAUGUAUAAAUGCUACAGUAAUUAUUAUAUUGAAUACUGUAAACAUAGGCAAUACUGUGUCAAUAUCAAGUUCACAAGCAAAAGAAGCAUAACUGGAACCUAUUAAAUGUUAAUUUAACUUUAAAAAUGAAAGUACCUAUUCUUAUCUUCACAGUCACUGUGAUAAAUUUCUAGUACAAUAAAAAAAUCACACUCUACUGUAAAAUAUAUUAUUAAAAAAUACUGGAAAACAAGGACUUUUGAUUACUGACGAGGUAGUGGUCAUCUAUCAAAAUUGGAAAUUUUACGUAAGUAAAUUUUAAGAACUGAACUAAAGAUGAGUGUUCAAAAAUUGGCUUAUAUGAAUGAAAUAGAUUAUGGUAUCGAGAUUAUGCUUAAAACUGUUCAAAUAACCAUUAGAAAAGUAGGUUAUAAUGAUUGAAACCUAAUACUUAAAUGCAAAUUAAACAUUUGUAUCCAACUUUUAAGCAUAGUAGUGGACGCAUAAAGUUGUACAUAAGUGUUUUUGUUUGAAAAUGUAUGCAUCUGGAGUAGACAACUCUUGUAAUUUAUUAAUUAUAUUAUAAUCCAAUUUUUUUUAGACAAUUUUUAUUUAGACAAGAAUUUUAAAAGAAAAUAUGCAAAAUAGUGCUCAAAAAUUAAACUUGGAGUCAGGAUUUAUAUCCUAACAAGGCAAUGAUCUUAAGUACACAGCUAAAAGAGUUAAAAGGCAAAGGUCUACAAAUCCUUAACAAAAUAGGAAAUUAAUGCAAUUAAAAAGAAAUAUAAUUAUCUCCUUAUUUCGAGUCAGAGUCUAAUAAAUUAUUAAAAAUGAAUGAUACGAAAACUUAUAUGACCCACUGUACAUGUACAUACGGUAUAUAUUAUUUUUCACGAUUUAAGAUACGAUUUUUAUAUCAGAAAAAAUAAUAUAAAG